rnacentral:tRNA from 1 species
GGAGCAGGUGAUGGCCGAAUGGUUACGCAGUCCGCUUUGUAAGCGGAUGAUUCUGGGUUCGAUUCCCAUCUGCUCCA